rnacentral:rRNA from 1 species
UACGUAGGAGGCAAGCGUUGUCCGGAAUUACUGGGCGUAAAGCGCGUGUAGGUGGUGGGACAAGUCUGCUGUGAAAGCGCCUGGCUUAACCGGGCGAGGUCGGCGGAAACUGUCCGACUAGAGGACGGUAGAGGGGGGUGGAAUUCCCGGUGUAGUGGUGAAAUGCGUAGAGAUCGGGAGGAACAUCAGUGGCGAAAGCGACUUCCUGGACCAGUACCGACGUUCAGGCACGAAAGCGUGGGGAGCAAACAGG